rnacentral:rRNA from 1 species
AACGAACGCUGGCGGCAGGCUUAACACAUGCAAGUCGAACGAUCUCUUCGGAGGUAGUGGCAGACGGGUGAGUAACACGUGGGAACGUACCUUUCAGUCAGGAAUAACUCAUGGAAACGUGAGCUAAUACCCGAUACGCCCUUUUGGGGAAAGAUUUAUCGCUGAAAGAUCGGCCCGCGUCUGAUUAGCUAGUUGGUGGGGUAAUGGCCUACCAAGGCGACGAUCAGUAGCUGGUCUGAGAGGAUGAUCAGCCACACUGGGACUGAGACACGGCCCAGACUCCUACGGGAGGCAGCAGUGGGGAAUAUUGGACAAUGGGCGCAAGCCUGAUCCAGCCAUGCCGCGUGAGUGAUGACGGCCUUAGGGUUGUAAAGCUCUUUCGACGGGGACGAUAAUGACGGUACCCGUAGAAGAAGCCCCGGCUAACUUCGUGCCAGCCGCCGCGGUAA